UACCAAGGUGGCAAGCGUUGUUCGGAUUUACUGGGCGUACAGGGAGCGUAGGCGGUUGGAUAAGCCCUCCGUGAAAUCUCCAGGCUUAACCUGGAAAGUGCAGAGGGGACUGUUCAGCUAGAGGAUGGGAGAGGAGCGCGGAAUUCCCGGUGUAGCGGUGAAAUGCGUAGAGAUCGGGAGGAAGGCCGGUGGCGAAGGCGGCGCUCUGGAACAUUUCUGACGCUGAGGCUCGAAAGCGUGGGGAGCAAACAGG
rnacentral:rRNA from 1 species